rnacentral:lncRNA from 1 species
GCCAUUGAGCACAUGCCGACAUGGUUGCUGAAACCGGUUGCCAAGCUGCUUUUUUUUACCAUUUUUUUCACAUUGGAAGUAAAGUUUUUUUUUCACGACCACCGACAUGGAUUAGGAGAGGAUGAAGGCAGAAGUCUUACUCAUUUUAACAAUAUUUACAAUGGGAGAAAAGAGCUUUAAUAUUAAAUUUAAAAUAAACUGCUUAAGUAACUAUAUAUUUUUGCAAAUAACAUUUUUGCAUGAUUUGUGGUCCUCAAAAUUCAUGGACCUUUCGCUUGCCGCUAGAUUUUAAUUGAUGUGAUCGAAAAAGAUGACAUAUAAUACGUGUGCGUUGCAGCUAUGAAAUACUACUUGCUCUAGAUAUACUAAGAAACCUAAGGUAUUUUUGAGGAUGUUUCUUUAAAAUUACCUUUUAGGGAUAAUCGGCACCACAUUUUACAUCAACUAUGGGGGCUUUUAUGUAAAUAUGCUGAACCUUAUCCCUUGAUUCCCUUCACUGUCCACAUCUUCUGCAACGAGCAGGCGAGCAGUGGUGGCAAGCAAGGCGCCGGGGCCUCCCCUCCCCUCCCCUCC